ensembl:lncRNA
CCACUCCGGGCAAUCAGUGGUCAUUAGAGGAGAGAGGUUUUAGGUUUCAUUUGUCUAAUAGCAAUGUGAGUGGUGAUAGCUUCUCGGGGAUGCGGCUGGCAGCCUGGGGUGAUUUCACUUUCUGUUUUGUGCUCACUUUCUCUGCAGUUGUUGCUUUCCCCGCUCACUCGCUCUGAGCCUCCCUCUCCCUCUCUGCCUUUCCCUCUCUCUCUCUCUCUCUCUCUCUCUCCCUCUCUCUCUCUCUCUGUGUUGUCUCAUCUUGCCUGUGCUGUCUGGGCGGGGGAGCCCUGCCUCCUUUUGCCUUCCUCAGAUCAAUGCCCUGGCCACUCACUUUCUGAUGUUGCACGACGGGAAAUGCUUUGAAUACUUACGACAUGGCCGCUCACAUUGAUUGCCAAGAUUGACAGCAGUAACCAUCGCCUUCACUUGUUUCAGGAGGAAAAAAAAAAUAAUAAUGAACCUGAUUGUAACCAAAUCUCCAGGCAACCCAUCCGCAAACUUCUAACGAUCGGGAUCCUGCACAUCCAUGGCCCGGAGAAACACCAGCAGACUCUAGUUCUUUUCUUUUCUUUUAUUUUACCGAAUUACUACCCAUUUAUUCCCCCUUCCCUCCCCCCUUUCACCUCCUGCUCUUUUUUUUUUUUUUUUUUNAUGAAAAUUACCGAAGCGCGUUGCAAAAAAAAAAGGAGGCUCUCCCAGUGCUUUGUGCCACACUGGAUCCCGAGGAGGUCACUGAGGAAAGAGAAUUUCAUUGUGUCUGUAAAAGUUUUUGCUUGCUCCCAUCAAGACAGAAUAGGGGUAUGGUUAAGUGCUAUCUUAAAUCUUGAUUGUUUGUCUUUCUUUUUGUGCUCCAUCUUUAAAAUAGCUGAGGUAAAGUAUGUGUGUGUGUGUGUGUAUAUAUAUAUUAGCAUAGGUUAGAAUGUAGACAGGCAUGUUGUUGCACGUUUAGCUGGAGGGACAGAGGAAAUCAUACAUUUAGGUCUUUCCUGCCUCUCAGUGGAGGUGCAGUAAAUGACUGUGAAUGCUUCCAAUGUCACUGUGUAGCAAAGGGAGUUAGCAGAAACCAUACCUCAAACCAUACAGCAUCUUAGCAGAGGGGCAGUAGGUUCUAACAGGGAGAGUGGUGACUUCUUGAGCAAUUCCAGCGAAAUUCAUAAGAGGAGGAACAAAAUAAGCCCCUCAGGGAGCAGUGGGUGCGAUUGCUCAUGGCGCCGAACUGGAAGAGAGGAAAACUUGGCACUAACUGUUGUUGUGAUGCUGCCAUGGACUGAUUACAGACACGUUCCUUUACUCCCAGUCCCCUUCUUUGCUCUCUUGUGUAAGCUACUUAGGCUAUAAGGUAAGGGCUGUCUCUAACUCAGUGUUUACGCCAUGAGUGUUGUAUUCAAAUAUGUUCUAGGAACAAAUACUACGAGUUGCAAAUCUAUGAGCAUGUUGUUUUUAAUUCCGUUGUAUGGAUAUAUGCUUGGAAUCCAUAAGAAGAAUCCACAAGAAGAAUCACAUUUCUGGUGCAGUGUCAGUAAGGUCCAACAUGAUUAAAGCAUUACAGGUUAUUUUUGCCAACUACCAGAGAUUCAUUGAGAGAGAAUGGUGUUGCACAGAUACUUCUAAAAAGCAUUUAUCACUUCAUGACUUUUAAAAUUAGAUGGCCCAACAGUGCUUUUGAGAAAUUUGGAAUGAUACAAAUGGUCACAGUUAUAUAUGUACUUGCAAAAUAUAUAAAAAUUGUGCCACUGAUGUUUUUAUCUCAAUCAGAGUUCAAUUUUCU